rnacentral:tRNA from 6 species
GCCCGCAUGGUGAAAUUGGUAAACACAUCGCACUUAAAAUGCGCCGCCUCUGGCUUGCCGGUUCAAGUCCGGCUGCGGGCACCA